GAUGAACGCUGGCGGCGUGCUUAACACAUGCAAGUCGAACGAGAAAUAUUUUAUUGAAACUUCGGUCGAUUUAAUUUAUUUCUAGUGGCGGACGGGUGAGUAACGCGUGGGUAACCUGCCUUAUACUGGGGGAUAACAGCCAGAAAUGACUGCUAAUACCGCAUAAGCGCACAGAACCGCAUGGUUCGGUGUGAAAAACUCCGGUGGUAUAAGAUGGACCCGCGUUGGAUUAGCUGGUUGGCAGGGCAGCGGCCUACCAAGGCGACGAUCCAUAGCCGGCCUGAGAGGGUGAACGGCCACAUUGGGACUGAGACACGGCCCAGACUCCUACGGGAGGCAGCAGUGGGGAAUAUUGCACAAUGGGGGAAACCCUGAUGCAGCGACGCCGCGUGAAGGAAGAAGUAUCUCGGUAUGUAAACUUCUAUCAGCAGGGAAGAUAAUGACGGUACCUGACUAAGAAGCCCCGGCUAACUACGUGCCAGCAGCCGCGGUAAUACGUAGGGGGCAAGCGUUAUCCGGAUUUACUGGGUGUAAAGGGAGCGUAGACGGCGCAGCAAGUCUGAUGUGAAAGGCAGGGGCUUAACCCCUGGACUGCAUUGGAAACUGCUGUGCUUGAGUGCCGGAGGGGUAAGCGGAAUUCCUAGUGUAGCGGUGAAAUGCGUAGAUAUUAGGAGGAACAC
rnacentral:rRNA from 1 species